CCUGCACAGAGGGAAAGAAGAAUCUCAACAUACAGUCCUCAGCAGCUUUAGCAUGGGCAACAAAUUAAGUCUCUGUAAAAGGCCCAAAGGACAGGGUUUGGUGAGAUUCUGGAGAGCUGGAAACAUGGAGGUUGACAGGAAUGUAAAGAAGAACUCAUUUACAUGCCAGGAGGGUGGAACACCCCAAUUCCAUGAGGAUAACUGCUCCUGUACUCCAGACCUCACCCCAUGUGUCUCUUCAUCUGGCUGGUUAUUUGUCCUUUAAGAUCUCCUUACUCAACCAGUAAAUGUGUCUUUACAUUGUUUUAGUCUUGAACUAGAAGAUGAAAGCAUCAAAUAAAGAAAUAUACUGUGGGUAUAUGGAUUACAAAAAAAGGCUGAACAUGAUGUUUCUAAAUGUUCUAGCAUCAAAUGUGAUCAACAUGCCUUCCCCUGUCUCC
rnacentral:lncRNA from 1 species